AAUUAGGCAGCAACCUUUUUGCCCUAUGCCGUAACCUGUGUCUGCAACUUCCUCUAAUUGGGAAAUAGUUAAGCAGAUUCAUAGAGCUGAAUGAUAAAAUUGUACUACGAGAUGCACUGGGACUCAACGUGACCUUAUCAAGUGAGAUGGAGUCUUGCCCUGUCUCCAAGGCUGGAGCCCAAUGGUGUGAUCUUGGCUCACUGCAACCUCCACCUCCCAGGUUCAAACGUUUCUCCUGCCUCAGCCUCCCAAGUAACUGGGAUUACAGCAGGCUUGGUGCAUUUGACACUUCAUGAUAUCAGCCAAAGUGGAACUAAAAACAGCUCCUGGAAGAGGACUAUGACAUCAUCAGGUUGGGAGUCUCCAGGGACAGCGGACCCUUUGGAAAAGGACUAGAAAGUGUGAAAUCUAUUAGUCUUCGAUAUGAAAUUCUCUGUCUCUGUAAAAGCAUUUCAUAUUUACAAGACACAGGCCUACUCCUAGGGCAGCAAAAAGUGGCAACAGGCAAGCAGAGGGAAAAGAGAUCAUGAGGCAUUUCAGAGUGCACUGUCUUUUCAUAUAUUUCUCAAUGCCGUAUGUUUGGUUUUAUUUUGGCCAAGCAUAACAAUCUGCUCAAGAAAAAAAAAUCUGGAGAAAACAAAGGUGCCUUUGCCAAUGUUAUGUUUCUUUUUGACAAGCCCUGAGAUUUCUGAGGGGAAUUCACAUAAAUGGGAUCAGGUCAUUCAUUUACGUUGUGUGCAAAUAUGAUUUAAAGAUACA
rnacentral:lncRNA from 10 species